rnacentral:rRNA from 1 species
GACGAACGCUGGCGGCGUGCUUAACACAUGCAAGUCGUACGGUAAGGCCCUUUCGGGGGUACGCGAUUGGCGAACGGGUGAGUAACACGUACGUAACUUGCCCACACCUUUGGGAUAACUCUAGUCAACUGGUUCUAAUACUUGAUGUGUGCCCCUGCUGCAUGGUGGGGGUUGGUAAGCUCCGGUGGUUGUGGAUGGAUUCGCGGCCUAUCUGCUUGUUGGUGGGGUAGUGGCCUACCAACGCGGCGGCGGGCAGCCGGCCUGGGGGGGUGACCGGCCACAUUGGGGCUGAGAUACGGCCCAGACUCCUACGGGGAGGAGGAAGGGGGAAUAUUGCACAAUGGGCGCAAGGCUGAUGCAGCAACGCCGCGGGGGGGAAGACGGGCUUCGGGUUGGAAACCGCUUUCAGCAGGGAAGAAGCCGUUUGUGACGGUACCUGCAGAAGAAGCACCGGCUAACUACGUG